UCUUGGGCCACUCCCAUGACAUAUGGAGGUUCCCAGGCUACGGGUCGAAUUGGAGCUGUAGCCGCCAGCCUACGCCACAGCCAUAGCAACUUGGGAUCCGAGCUGCGUCUGCAACCUACACCACAGCUCAUGGCAAUGCCAGACCCUUAACCCACUGAGCAAGGCCAGGGAUCGAACCUGCAACCUCACAGUUCCUAGUCGGAUUCGUUAACCACUGCGCCACUAUGGGAACUCCUUAAUCUUCUCUUCUUACAAAGACAUCUGUCAUAUUGGACUAGGACCCACCCAUAUAUCUGACCUUAUUUUAUCAUUCUUAGCUGUUCAAAGACACUAUCUCUGGAGUGAAGUUAAGGAUCUGGCACUGUCACUGCAGCAGCUCAGGGAUGCUGCUAUGGCAUGGAUUUGUUCCUGGUCCACAAACUUCCACAUGCCAUGGGUGUGGUCAAAAAACAAUAAUAAAGACCCUGUCUCCAAAUACAGCUAUAUUCUGAGGCACUGUGCAUUAGGACUUCAAAAUGUGAAUUGAGAGGGGACACUAUUCAGCCCAUAACAAUUAUAUUUCAUUCUAAGGGAAUAUUAUCAACCAAGUGAGGAAUGCUAAAUGUCUUAAAAUCUCUGCUUCCUCACUUCUCUACAAGCUGCUUGUCAUUUUAUGGGGUUAUUAAUAUCUCCACCAGCCAUCUAGUUGAUGCUAGGAGGAUGUAACUCAAAAUCAUUUUAUUAUUUACUCAGAUACGUUUUCUUCCUCAUUUAUAAGUAUUGUAAAGUUAAUACAAGUCAGAAAAAAUUUUGUCUGGUAUUUCACCAACCGUAAUGAAGUAUACUCUAACAUUUAUAAUUGCUAGUUCAGUUAAGUACUAUGUAAGAAUUCACAGGUGAUAUUGUUAUAAAAUAAUGAACCAGAUGGAAACGUUUGCCUCAUUACUUCUUGGUUAUUUCCCAUAAAGUUAAUACUUCACUACCUGAAUGGUUUGGAAGAGAACAACUCUUCCUUUGCUGAAUCAGGGAAUCUGAUUAUCACACAUCAUUAAUCUAAUGACAAAGAGCCUUUUUUAAAAAAAUGAGUAGGUCAAACAGUCUUAGUGAGAUCAACUUUUAAUGCUGUACCCAUUAUUUUCACGACACGUAUAUUUUUAAAAUGCCUUCAAAUUUACAGAGCAUUUUCCCAUAGUUUUCCAAAAAAUUUUCACAAGUAUAAAUUAAAUGUGUUCUCAUUCUCACUUACAGACGAGGAAACUGAGGCUCAGAGGUUUUUUUGUGUGACAUGUCCAGGGAUAUAGUUAAUAAAUAGCACAGCUAGGACUAGAACUGUCUGAUUCUAACCCAGAGCUGACCUAUUUUUUAAUAUCCAUACUAAUGUCAAUUUCUAAAUGAUCUCUCCCAAAAUAUGCCUUCAUGAGAAAAGGAUUUCACGGUCAAAUACAUUUGGAGAAAACUGUCUGCUAAAUUCCUCAUUGGUAGAAUCACAGACUUGUUACUUUUAAAGGCUGUGAGGACUACUGAAUUAAUGAAGUCCAUUUAACAUUGUUUAAUCUAAACUUAUUCCCAGGUUUAAUUAAUCAUUGAAAUUUUUCCCCAUGUAAUUGCUACUAACAUCCAGAGUACCUGCAUUAAUAACUGUUCUAAAUGAACAACUUUUUAUCAACUAUGUUAAAAGGCCUAGGUGCUACAAAAGGCCAUAUUUCAGAGGAGAGUUUAGGAAAAUUAGAGCAGGAAAGUGUCCUGAAAAGAACAAAGGAAGUGUUUGCUUUUAUUUUUUAGUUUGUAGCCAAAAGAAUUUGCUACGCUAUAAAUGCCAUAAAAGUAAGAACUACCUCUACACUUUUUAUGAGACAUGUAGUACAAUCCACAAUUAAAAAUAUAUGUUUAACGGAGAAAAAUGACAUGAAUUUCUCAUCAGUACUAAUCAGCCAUAAACAAUUUUUUAUCAGAAAACAGAAAAAAACUAAGCUUAUUUUUCUAUUUGACAAGCGGCAUGGCACUGAGGUGGUAUUCUGAUGUAAAAAGAUCGUUUGGAAAAAAAAAAGCUUUUUAAGGGUCUUUAAGGGACUUCUCAGCAUCAUCACUUAAUGACUUGAUCAAUGCCCCAGGCAGAAUUUUCUUAAAGGGUCACAUUAAUGCAAAUGAUGUACCAGAGGGUCUUCAAAUGUAUUAGAAAAUAUUAAUCUUGCAAUUGAAGAGAAGAAAAAUUGUUUCCUAAUGGUACUUUUUUUUCCUUAAUAAUCAAUUUUCAUUCCUUUCCCCCCUUUUCUAGUCAUUCUCAUUCACUUACUUUAACCAACGUGAAUUCCUUAUUUCAGAACUCUUACAGUAAAAGAAUUUCAAAAGUCAGGCAGAGUGGGUGGAAAUUGAUAGCGUGAUAUAUAAAUUCUUCAGAUGAGUAUUAAUUUAGCAGAUUCUGCUCCUCUCUCCCUCUACCAAAGUGGAACAGAAAGCUGAAAUCUAAAGCGUUUAAUUAUACCACAUUUCAGUCAGUUCACUAGAUUAUAUUCUUAGCUCCAUGAAUUGCCCAUGAGUGAGAACUCUGCUUGUGAUAAAAGGUCAAAAACAAUUUUGAACAAUACAAUUUUUCUCCAAAUAUUUAGUUCUUGCCUGCAUAAUUAUCUACAUGUACACAUGUGUAUACACACACACACACCACAUACAUGGAGUUUAGCAACUUCUCUUUCAAAAAAUAACAUUGUCAUUGGUAAGAGAAUUUGAAAAGCCAGCAGCCAUUGAGAAAAUCUGAAAACAGCUUGGGGACUACCAAAUUAUAGCACACUUGGAUUUAAUCCUAGAGCUUGCUCCCUGUUACCCUUAUCCACAAAUACUAGGAAUUUCAUCUUGCUCUAACUGCAAUGCCAGAUCCAAGACAUGUCUGUGACCUCCACCACAGCUCAUGGCAACACCAAGUCCUUAACCCACUGAGUGAGGCUAAGGACCGAACCCAUAUCCUCAUGGAUACUAGUCGGGUUUGUAACCUGCUGAGCCACAACAGGAACUCUUUACACGCAAGGAAAUAUUUAACGGCUCAUCUGCAGUUUUAGGAGAGUGAAGCAGGAAUGAAAAAUUGGGUCGGUUUCAAUUCAAAUAGAUGUUGUCGUACAUGAGUCUCUUUAAACUAAAAACAGAAAAGCUAGGAAUCUGUUCUGUGCAGUUUUGGCAAUCGACGUU
rnacentral:lncRNA from 1 species